rnacentral:tRNA from 1 species
GCUGGUCCUCGUUGGCGGCCUUCGGCGGGGCGCUCUCCGGUGGUGCCGCGUGCUGCGCCUUGUCGCGCGACCGGUUCGCUCCCGGCGGGCGGCGC